UGGGCGUAAGCCUGAACCAGCCAAGUAGCGUGAGGGAAGACUGCCCUAUGGGUUGUAAACCUCUUUUGUGCGGGGAUAAAGUGUGGGACGUGUCCCAUAUUGCAGGUACCGCACGAAUAAGGACCGGCUAAUUCCGUGCCAGCAGCCGCGGUAAUACGGAAGGUCCGGGCGUUAUCCGGAUUUAUUGGGUUUAAAGGGAGCGCAGGCCGUCCUUUAAGCGUGCUGUGAAAUGCCGCGGCUCAACCGUGGCACUGCAGCGCGAACUGGAGGACUUGAGUACGCACGAGGUAGGCGGAAUUCGUGGUGUAGCGGUGAAAUGCUUAGAUAUCACGAAGAACUCCGAUUGCGAAGGCAGCUUACCGGAGCGCAACUGACGCUGAGGCUCGAAAGCGCGGGUAUCGAACAGGAUUAGAUACCCUGGUAGUCCGCGCGGUAAACGAUGGAUGCCCGCCGUUGGGAUAUUGAUUUCAGCGGCCAAGCGAAAGCGUUAAGCAUCCCACCUGGGGAGUACGCCGGCAACGGUGAAACUCAAAGGAAUUGACGGGGGCCCGCACAAGCGGAGGAACAUGUGGUUUAAUUCGAUGAUACGCGAGGAACCUUACCCGGGCUUGAAUUGCAGGAGAACGAUCCAGAGAUGGUGAGGCCCUUCGGGGCUCCUGUGAAGGUGCUGCAUGGUUGUCGUCAGCUCGUGCCG
rnacentral:rRNA from 1 species